rnacentral:rRNA from 1 species
UACGUAGGGCGCAAGUGUUAUCCGGAAUUAUUGGGCGUAAAGAGCUCGUAGGCGGUUUGUCGCGUCUGCCGUGAAAAGUCCGGGGGCUCAACUCCGGAUCUGCGGUGGGUACGGGCAGACUAGAGUGAUGUAGGGGAGACUGGAAUUCCUGGUGUAGCGGUGAAAUGCGCAGAUAUCAGGAGGAACACCGAUGGCGAAGGCAGGUCUCUGGGCAUUAACUGACGCUGAGGAGCGAAAGCAUGGGGAGCGAACAGG